GAUGAACGCUGACAGAAUGCUUAACACAUGCAAGUCAACUUGAACUUCGGUUUGGGUGGCGGACGGGUGAGUAACGCGUAAAGAACUUGCCUCACAGAUAGGGACAACAUUUGGAGACGAAUGCUAAUACCUGAUAUUAUGAUUAUAUGGCAUCGUAUAAUUAUGAAAGCUAUAUGCGCUGUGAGAGAGCUUUGCGUCCCAUUAGCUAGUUGGAGAGGUAACGGCUCACCAAGGCGAUGAUGGGUAGCCGGCCUGAGAGGGUGAUCGGCCACAAGGGGACUGAGACACGGCCCUUACUCCUACGGGAGGCAGCAGUGGGGAAUAUUGGACAAUGGACCAAGAGUCUGAUCCAGCAAUUCUGUGUGCACGAUGAAGUUUUUCGGAAUGUAAAGUGCUUUCAGUUGGGAAGAAAAAAAUGACGGUACCAACAGAAGAAGUGACGGCUAAAUACGUG
rnacentral:rRNA from 1 species